GCUGAGAGGGAGGGGGAGAGAGAGAGAGAGAGAGAGAGAGAGAAGGAGACGUUGGGUCAGAGCAGAUAAUAGAUCAUCGACUCCAUCAGCUUCUCUGUUGCUGAAAUUUAUUUCUCCAACAUAUCUGAAAGAUUCCUGUGAGUUCUCAGGAAACCCUACAAAUUAAUUGGGAACAUGCAGUUUUGGCCUGAUAAACAGAAAAUGCAGUUGAAAACCCGGAUAUAUGCAGCCCCACCUCCUUGUGUUGACGAGUUCGACCGUAUUCCUGACUCCAUACUCCUUAUCAUCCUCAACAAGCUCGCAGAUGUCAGAGCCCUCGGCCGCUGUGCUGUCGUCUCCAAGCGAUUCAAUGCCCUCGUCCCCCUCGUGCAUGAUGUCUUCGUCAAAAUUGAUCAGGUCGUGUCUGUCGAUGGUGAUGACGAUGAAAACCUAGAUUACUCUUCUCAGAGACCACGGAACCUCUUCUCCCACCUCCUCAAACUAAUGUUCUUCACCCUCCUGAGACCCUUCCACAACCUCCAUGACGUCAGUAAUGUUAACAGGCCCCUCCUUCCCCAACUUUCUCAUCACUCCGCCGAGCAAGUCCUCAGGAAAUUCCAUCAUAUCCAUAACCUCCGGAUCGAAUUGCCCGCUGGCGAUGUCGGCACUGAAGAUGGCGUCCUCCUGAAAUGGAAGGCUGAGUUUGGCAGCACUCUCCAGAAUUGUGUCAUUCUGGGAGGCAUCCGGGUAGAUCAGAAGCCAGCAUCUGGUCAAGAACCGCUCGAGGACAAUGGAAGCAUACCUGAAUCAUUUUAUACGAAUGGAGGGUUGAAAUUGCGAGUGGUCUGGACAAUCAGCUCUCUGAUUGCUGCGUCCACGAGACACUAUUUGCUGCGACCUAUAAUCAAAGACCAUCCAACGCUGAGCAGUUUGAUUUUGACGGAUGCAGAUGGGCAAGGGACCCUGAGCAUGACAGCAGAGCAGCUGAGAGAGUUCAGGGAGAAACCAUUAGCUGCUUCAGCGUCAUCUAGCAGGACCCAGGUGCCAGCUUCAAACAUGAAACUGAGAUACGUCCCGUAUAUGGAACUUCCGGAAGGGAAGGGUAUUAUGCAGGGUGCAACGUUGGUGUCAAUCAAGCCAUCGGGGGAGAGCACCAGCUCGAAUAGGAAGGAAACAGAGGCGUUUGUUGCCAGUGCAUUUGAUGGGUCGUUCAAGGCAGUUGUGAAGGCGUUGCUGAAACGGAGGACUUAUCUGUUGGAGAUGAAUGGUUUUUAGGCCGUGGCCUAUAAUUGGCUUUGUGCUUGGGCAGAAUGUGGCGAGCUUGCGAAAAUGGGUCAUUUGUUGGGUGGAGCUUGGCAAAGUGAUUGGGAUGAGACAGAUAGUUCUUUGGCAGCAGCUUUUGUAGUGCUAUGGAUGCGUGAUUCGAGCUGCUGUUGUUCAAUUGUGGACCCUUGUUUGGUGGGUCUGGUCUGUCCUCCUUUCAACCUUUCAACUGGUUUUUCCUCAAUCCAGCCAUCCAUGGUGAGAGGCCCACUUUGAGAUGACACAGCGGCCAAAAUGCACUAAAAGACCCCCCACCCCAGCCUUAUGACUUUGGAAUCUAACCAGUCAUUGAUUAGAAAACAAAGCUGUAGGUGAUUUUGGGUCCCAGCUCGCUAGGAUUCAUUGCAAGUGGGACCAGAAGCUGAUCCCCCCUAUCCAUACGCCAUCCUUCACUGUCAGGUGGGGUCCACUGAUCACGAUGUGGGCCACACGCCCUCUUCCCUGCUCGAGGUGGUCUCCAGUCGAUCUGUACUCUCACCUAACUAACUAAUCAUAACGUCCGGAAAACAAUUCACGACGUUGGGGUGAUAAGCAUGAGUUAAAGAGGGGUUGAAAAGGUGCACUUUCAAAAUCCGCCUGCAAGAGGGUAAAAAGCUGCACUUGGCUUUUAUUUCAUGGGAGUUGUAUGAUACUCGGGCUGCGUAUGAUGCUUGAUACGCAGGCACCCAGAAAUUGUACAAGUGUCAUAUAUUAACUCCGAUUAGAUUUUGUACGCCACGUCUGCAUUUUGUUAUUUGUAAAUGCUUGUGUAUCAUCCAUCGCACUAUCUAGAGUAGCCUAGUUUUUGGUUUUUUUUUUUUUUUUAAA